UCUCUCUCUCUCUCUCUCUCAUCAAGUCCUCAGUCUUCUAUAUGCAGGAUGCAGCUAAAGAGCAAGUGAGAGAAACCUCUUGAGGAAAAUACAAGAGCUUUUCAAGCUUCACCAAACUCAAGAAGGAAAAGAAAAUAUAUAUAUAUUAAACUCUUGUGUACACUUAGCUCAUUGUUGCAUGUACCGUGAGUUUUAACAUCUCCUAUGCUUUUUUUUCAUAGAUUCUUUUUACUGGGUUUGUUCUAUUUUCUGCACUUGCUGUGUUGGUUCUGUUUUUGUCAUGUGCAUGCAUGUAUUAUAAGGCAUUUUACAGCUUCCCCCCCCCCCCCCCCCCCCCCCCCCCCCCCCCCCCCCCCCUCUCUUCCACUUCGUUUUCUGAUUUAUUUUCAGUUUUGAAAUUUUCUUGUUUGUUUUCCUAUUUUGAGAUCUCCCACUCAAAACAAGAUAUUUUUGAGAUUUUUCUUUAUAUUUCUUGAUUAAUUGAUGUCUUUGAGCAAAAUAUUUGGAGUAUUUGAUGAAUGAUCUGACAGUUACUACAGGCAUAGCCUCAUCUUACUUGUCAUGCAUUUGAAUCUAAAGCAAGUGUUUGGUAUGUAAUGGAAUCUUAAGCAUCAUUUGAUCUUCACAGAUCAGUCAAAGUAUCAUGCUUUCAUGGGCUAUUAUUAGUUAUAAAGUUUCCAUUAAUAAUGGGCUGUUCCCUUUAUGCUGAUCUUGCUUUACUAAUUAUAUUUACUCUCUUUAAAUUUGUUUAUUUUGGCUCCUCUCAACAAAAUUCUUAUAGUUCAGUACCUUUUUUAUCUGUCUUAUCAUUAUCCUUGCUUUAAUUUGGCUUAACAGCCCAUUUUUAAUUUGAUGUAGUUACUCUAAUUUUUUAAUGUAAUGCUUUUUUUUUUUUUUUGUCAUGCAGAAUUGAUUUGGAUGAUGAUCAUAAGCAGUGAUCUGCAACAAUUGUUUGUGGCCUGAGAAAGGAUGCCAAACCAGCUAUGGUUUGCACUGCUAAUGAUUUAUCAGCAUGGAAGGAUUUUCCAAA
rnacentral:lncRNA from 1 species